rnacentral:sRNA from 1 species
CCCAAAUGCUGUUUGUACAUCAAAUUAAAAACCGGAAAGUACUUGUGCAAUC